AGAAAUGUCCUCACACAUGCGUCAUGCUUUGCACAGACUGAUAGAUCAAGAACCAAGCAAUUAGGGUAAAUUCUGGUAUAAAUGGUACAAUCUCAUGGAAAGGGUGGUCAGAUAUUGGAACAGGCUGCUCUGAGAAGUGGUGGAAUCUCCAUCUCUGAAAGGUUUAAAAAUGUGGAUGUGGCAGCUGACCGGGUUUAGGGGGGAACAUGGCAGUGCUGGAUUAAUGGUUGGACUCGAUGAUCUUUCAGGGCUUGUCCAACCUUACCAAUCACACGAUUUUAACUGCACUGAGCACUUGCUUAUUCCAGCAUUCAGCUUGUCUAUCUGUGAGAAGUACAUCAAACCCAGCAGGUACAGAGAAAGCACAAGGAGGAGGAUUCCUCACACCGAGUGCACCUAACACUUGACCUGCGGCAUCGCAGCGCAAACAUUUGCUUUGUUUUAGCUGUGAUUCACACAGUUCAGGACACAGGUCCUGAGGCAAAACGCCGAGAAGUGUCGUCUGCAAGGAUCUGGUGUGCUGUGGGUGACACCGGGGCUCCGGGGGAUGCUCACCCAAGGACUGCACGGUACCACCCGCGCCUCCCAACCUGUUCUGCAGCACAGACACGCGGGACUCUGGGACACCCGGCCGGCCGUACGGUGGAACCUACCCCGUGAUCCGCAGCUUCUUCGCGGGGCUCCGGGUCUUAAUUUUGUCGACACCGACAGCAAAAAGAAGCCGCAAACGAGGCGGCGUUGGCGGCCUGGCUGCCAGCGCACCGCGCUGCCUCGGCAGGCACGGACGGGGUUCGAACCCGCGAUCUUCGGUUUACGAGACCGACGCCUUACCACUUGGCCACCGCGCCCGACGGGCUGUUUGCAUCUCCGCGCCGCCAGUGGAAGGCACCGAUCGGCGCGGAGGAAAGUGGAGCAUCACCGCGAAAUCACAGGGCUGCCUCUGGGAACAAACAGCAGCUGUUCGGAACGAGGGAAGUCCUGCCAAGCUCACACACACCUCCGGCGCUGCCGCUCGGCAGUGCUCCGGCACCUGCUCCCGCUUUGGGGCCGGGGAGGGUCCCCAGGGCAGGAGCCAGCCCUGCGGCACCGGCCCGCUGGGACACAUCUCCCGGGCACGGCACACCGGGGAACGGCGGGGACUGUCCCGGCAUGGCGCAGCUCCAUUCCGGCACUGCCACCCGCCUCUCUGAGAGCCAAACAGCGGCGUUUCCACCCCUUCCCUUGGGACAGUAUCAGGCAGUCUGUGUUUCCUGAUAUUCAAAUUGAAUUUUCACGUUUUACUUCAAACCCAUUAUGUUCUGUUUACAUAGUCAAAUCAUA
rnacentral:tRNA from 1 species